GUCGCAUAUAUGAGAGUGGUUAAUUCCUCCUACACAAGUGCUAAUAGAUAUCGAAAUGAAUUGCAGACUUCUCUGCAAAUGGUUCCGCCAGGUGAGUCUCCUUCAUCUUCGGCCUCGGAUGUCGAUAACGUGAACCAUCCAGCAGCAGCAGACCGAGUAGGCACCUCAAGGGGCAUCAGUUCUCCUUUAGUUGCUGGGAACCACGUCAUUUCUGCGCAAAACCGCUCUAAUAUUUUA